rnacentral:rRNA from 1 species
CCUACGGGCGGCAGCAGUGGGGAAUAUUGCACAAUGGGCGCAAGCCUGAUGCAGCGAUGCCGCGUGAGUGAAGAAGGAUUUCGGUAUGUAAAGCUCUAUCAGCAGGGAAGAAAAUGACGGUACUUGUCUAUGUAGCCCCGGAUAAUAACGUGACAGCAGGCGCGGUAAUACGCAGGGGGCAAGCGUAAAGCGGAUUUACUGGGGGUAAAGGGAGCGUAGACGGCUGGGCAAGUCGGGAGUGAAAUCCCAUGGUUUAACCAUGGAACUGCUUUGGAUACUGUGCAGCUAGAGUGCAGGAGAGGUAGGCGGAAUUCCUGGUGUAGCGGUGAAAUGCGUAGAUAUUAGGAGGAACACCGGUGGCGAAGGCGGCUUACUGGACUAUAACUGACGUUGAGGCUCGAAAGCGUGGGGAGCAAACAGGAUUAGAUACCCCAGUAGUC